UCCCUGAUCGUAUAUCAGUUAGUACACGCGCCUGUCACGCGCGAGAGUAGGGUUCGACUCCCUAUCAGGGAG